AUUGAACGCUGGCGGCAGGCUUAACACAUGCAAGUCGAACGAGUGGCGGACGGGUGAGUAAUGUUUGGGAAUCUGGCUUAUGGAGGGGGAUAACUACGGGAAACUGUAGCUAAUACCGCGUACCAUAGGAUGAGCCCAGAUGGGAUUAGGUAGUUGGUGAGGUACAGGCUCACCAAGCCGACGAUCUCUAGCUGGUCUGAGAGGAUGACCAGCCACACUGGGACUGAGACACGGCCCAUACUCCUACGGGAGGCAGCAGUGGGGAAUAUUGCGCAAUGGGGGCAACCCUGACGCAGCCAUGCCGCGUGAAUGAAGAAGGCCUUCGGGUUGUAAAGUGCUUUCGGUAGCGAGGCGUUAACCACAGGAGAAGCACCGGCUAACUCCGUGCCAGCAGCCGCGGUAAUUC
rnacentral:rRNA from 1 species